GACUUAAAGGUGGUCGGAGCGGUGUUCGGAGAGGCAGUGUUAGAUAACCAAGACCGAACAGGACACUCAGCCGGCAACACUCUGAGAAAAUGUGUCAUUUCAACUUAAUACAUGUCACUACACUACUAAGUGUUUGGUUGAUAUGUGGAAAUGUGUCAGUAUGCUAGUUUACAUUGUUGUCGUAUGAAAUGUCAAGUUGGGAUACCCAAGGCUGAGGGGUUCAUUGAGGGCCUAUAUAAAAGGGUGGGAACCUCCAUUAUUAAGGUCGGACAACUAGAAAAGAGAGAGAGUUCAUGUUUUAGCCGAACGAUAUUUCUAGUCAUGAAAUCAAUAUAAUAUGAGCAACACAGUGAAUAUAGCCCAGUUUUAAGAGAGUGAACCACUUAAACCUUUGAGUCCAUUCCAUUUCAGCCCAUAUCCCAAGCCUACCAAGUGUUUAGUAUUUAAAUUUGUUAACCUACAAAUUUUGAGCGUUAACACGACCAAAAAGAGAAACAUGAAAAUACGCUUGUGUUUGUCAAAAAGUAGUUCACAAGUUUUUUUGUUUGUUAAUUACUAGAGAAUAGUGAAAAAUUAAUAUAAUAAGUAUAAGCACUACUUAAUCAAUUGUUAUAUAGAUUGAUUGAAAAGAAAAACCCACAAUCAUAUGUAUACUAAAAUCUUUUCCUACUAGAAAUUUUUUGCUGAUGUGGAAUGGUUAGAUAAAAAAAUUUGGGAGCUCCUCAGAAAUUUUGGGAGCUCUGCCCAAUUGCAUCUUUUGCACACUCCAACGCCACUAUUGUUGCCACAAACACAACCCCCGCCACCUUGCUCGUCGUUCUCUUAACAUUCGUAAUUGAAAACAUUACUACCAAAUGCAAAUACACUGUUCAGUUUUUUCACCUAUCAUUUAUGCC
rnacentral:lncRNA from 1 species